UACGUAGGGGGCGAGCGUUGUCCGGAUUUAUUGGGCGUAAAGAGCGUGUAGGCGGCCAAACAGGUCCGUUGUGAAAACUGGAGGCUUAACCUCCAGACGUCGACGGAAACCGUGUGGCUAGAGUCCGGAAGAGGAGAGUGGAAUUCCUGGUGUAGCGGUGAAAUGCGCAGAUAUCAGGAAGAACACCAAUGGCGAAGGCAGCUCUCUGGGACGGUACUGACGCUGAGACGCGAAAGCGUGGGGAGCGAACAGG
rnacentral:rRNA from 1 species